GUCUCUUGGAACAGAGCGUCGUAGAGGGUGAGAAUCCCGUCUUUGACACGGACUACCAGUGCUUUGUGAUGCGCUCUCAAAGAGUCGAGUUGUUUGGGAAUGCAGCUCAAAAUGGGUGGUAAAUUCCAUCUAAAGCUAAAUAUUGGCGAGAGACCGAUAGCGAACAAGUACCGUGAGGGAAAGAUGAAAAGCACUUUGGAAAGAGAGUUAAACAGUACGUGAAAUUGCUGAAAGGGAAACGCUUGAAGUCAGUCGCGUUGGCUGGAACUCAGCCUUGCUUUUUUGCUUGGUGCAUUUUCUAGUUGACGGGCCAGCAUCGAUUUUGACUGCUGGAAAAAGGCUGGGGGAAUGUGGCACCUUCGGGUGUGUUAUAGCCCUCAGUCGCAUACAGUGGUUGGGAUCGAGGAUCGCAGCACGCCUUUAUGGCCGGGGUUCGCCCACGUUCGUGCUUAGGAUGCUGGCAUAAUGGCUUUAAACGACCCGUCUUGAAACACGGACCAAGGAGUCUAACAUGCCUGCGAGUGUUUGGGUGGAAAACUCGAGCGCGCAAUGAAAGUGAAAGUUGAGAUCCCUGUCAUGGGGAGCAUCGACGCCCGGACUUGAACUUCGGUGAUGGAUCCGCGGUAGAGCAUGUAUGUUGGGACCCGAAAGAUGGUGAACUAUGCCUGAAUAGGGUGAAGCCAGAGGAAACUCUGGUGGAAGCUCGUAGCGAUUCUGACGUGCAAAUCGAUCGUCAAAUUUGGG
rnacentral:rRNA from 1 species